GACGAACGCUGGCGGCGUGCUUAACACAUGCAAGUCGAACGAUGAAGCCCAGCUUGCUGGGUGGAUUAGUGGCGAACGGGUGAGUAACACGUGAGUAACCUGCCCUUCACUCUGGGAUAACUCCGGGAAACCGGUGCUAAUACUGGAUAUGACUACUUCCCGCAUGGGAUGGUGGUGGAAAGUUUUUCGGUGGGGGAUGGACUCGCGGCCUAUCAGCUUGUUGGUGGGGUAAUGGCCUACCAAGGCGACGACGGGUAGCCGGCCUGAGAGGGCGACCGGCCACACUGGGACUGAGACACGGCCCAG
rnacentral:rRNA from 1 species